CUCCGACCCCGACCGCUCGCCCUCUCGUCGGCCAGUCGCUCGCCAGCCAGUCGCCACCCUCUCCCUCUCGUUGGUGUCUUCCUCACCGCAGUCUUGCUCCUCACCACCCAUAACCCUAGCAACCCGCCUCCCUCUCGUCGGUGAAAGGUGUUAUUUUUACCAGCUGGGGUGCUCGAUUCGUGGCGGCGGUGCUCGAUCCGUGCUGGAGCAGCGGGAGGAGGAGGCCAAGGUGGAGAUCGUGGUGCGGGAGGGGGAGCUCGGCGAGACGGCGGCUGGAUCUGAAGCGCGGCUGCUCCACCUUCCUCAGGGUGGCGGGGAUCUCCGGCUCGCUGCAGAGAAGAAGGGCCCGACCGCUGGCGUCAUCCGCCGCUUCCUCAGGGUUGGCGGCGGCGGGCUGCGGUUCCGGCGGAAGGGCGACACGUUCAAGGUGCUGCAGGUGGCGGACAUGCACUAUGAGGACGGGCGGAGCACCGCGUGCGAGGACGUGCUGCCCGAGCAGGUCGCCGGCUGCUCCGACCUCAACACCACCGCCUUCCUCUACCGCGUCAUCCGCGCCGAGAACCCCGACCUCGUCGUCUUCACAGUUCACUACUCGAGGUGCUGGGCCGUGGCUUCGUCGAGGCGGACGACAGCCACUCCCGUGCAAACAAAGGUGAGCAUUCAGGAAAAGAACAUACAAGUGCUCUUUCUUUAGUAAACUCUCAAUUGCACUGUCUAGCAGAAUCUUUUUUGGAUACAAGCAUACAGGAAAAGGAUGAGCAUACAGGAAAAGGAUGAUCAUCCUUUUCUGCUGGAAUAUCAACUUUUUUGGAUGCUCAACCAUCAAUAAACAUCUUGGCUGAACUUCGGGAAAAGGAUGCACCGAAUCUUAGUUUUACUAGUGCGAGUGAUCUUGACUUCCUUGCAGAGAGGACUAGAGAUAUGGGGUACUUGAGUGGUUCAUCUGCACUCCAGAUAACUUUCAGUUUUUUUGUUCAAAAUUGAGCACCGCCUUGCCAAACAGCAUUCCGCCACUAAAUGGCAGCAUAUACAGGACCAACUAACAAUUUUUGACAGGUGAACAGAUGGACAGUGGAUGCUCCUUGCUGAUCAAUUCAAAAUUGCUCUGGCGAUCAAUUCAAGCUUGUUGUGACUGGCGAGAAGACGUCCUGGUCAAUCACCACAUCUGAUCAAUUUCUGUCUGUGGCGAGAAGAAGUGGUACAACUCCAGCGAUCAAUUUCUUUGGCGAUUAACAAUUUUGAUCAAUUCAAACAGCAGCACAGGCGGCGCAUGAGCAGGGAGGAGCACAUGCUGCUGCUGUUGGUCAGUGCGGGGAGGAGCACGGGCAGAGGUCAAUUGGCCGGAUCCGGAGCUCCAGUGCCUGAAUCGAGGAGCUGGAAGGCUGAGGCAGGAGGAGGAGGAGCACAGGCUGCGCUGCUGCUGCUGUUGGUCAGUGUGGGGAGGAGCAUGGACGGAGGUCAAUUGGCUGGAUCCGGAGCUCCUAUGCCUGAAUCGAGGAACUGGAAGGCUCAGGCAGGAGGAGGAGGAGCACGGGCGGCGCUACUACUGGUCGGUGCAGGGAGGAGCACGGGCGGUGCGAAGGCCAGGAGUCAUGGGCGGCACGACGGCCAGGAGUCAUGGGCAGCUGGAGGCUGUGGCGGACGGCGAGGGAGCUGUGUACGAGUUUGGGCUCUCGAUUGGAGCGGAGGAAGGCGGCCGGCGAGGGAGCUACGGCCGGCGCGGACGGACGCUGGAGCUGCAGCAGUGGGGUGGAGCCUGGCGGAGGGGAGGAGCGAUGGAGGAAGACGAAGAUCCCCGGCGACAAGAAAUUCAAAUUUAGGGUAGUUUGGUACUUUUUCCUGUUUUCACCUGGUCGGAGAAGUUCCCCAACGACAACUAUUUCGGAACAGAGGGAGCAGUACCAUAGGAAACUUUCCAAUUCCUAUGUUUUUCAUUCACUUUUCCUUUCAAGCACUAGUGAUUCUAGUAGGCCGGCUUGAGCAAGGAAAAGCCUACACUAAAAAAAUGUUUUGUGCUACUUCUAUUACUUUGGACCCAGGCCACUGCCCUACUAGCUCAACUCCCAGGGCCAUCGACAAAUGCACAGCUCAAACGCGCAGAGAUUAAUAAUGAUGGCAUUCAAGAGAGUCCAUCACGGAUAACUAAGGUGCCUGGUACCUCACUGCUUGUCAUAUAGUAGGAUAAAAUAAUCGUAUUUCCCGUUACUAUGUGUGCUCAGUGGACAAUAUAUAUAACUUGUAGAGUAAAAAAGAG
rnacentral:rRNA from 1 species